rnacentral:misc_RNA from 1 species
GAACUGCGAUAAGUAAUGUGAAUUGCAGAAUUCAGUGAAUCAUCGAGUCUUUGAACGCACAUUGCGCCCCCUGGCAUUCCGGGGGGCAUGCCUGUCCGAGCGUCAUUGCUGCCCUUCAAGCCCGGCUUGUGUGUUGGGUCGUCGUCCCCUCCGGGGGACGGGCCCGAAAGGCAGCGGCGGCACCGCGUCCGGUCCUCGAGCGUAUGGGGCUUUGUCACUCGCUCGAUAAGGACCGGCCGGGCGCCAGCCGGCGUCUCCAACCUUUUUUUCUCAGGUUGACCUCGGAUCAGGUAGGGAUACCCGCUGAACUUAAGC